UAAGGGCGCACGGUGGAUGCCUUGGCACUAGAAGCCGAUGAAGGACGUUACUAACGACGAUAUGCUUUGGGGAGCUGUAAGUAAGCUUUGAUCCAGAGAUUUCCGAAUGGGGAAACCCAGCAUGAGUUAUGUCAUGUUAUCGAUAUGUGAAUACAUAGCAUAUCAGAAGGCACACCCGGAGAACUGAAACAUCUUAGUACCCGGAGGAAGAGAAAGAAAAUUCGAUUCCCUUAGUAGCGGCGAGCGAAACGGGAAGAGCCCAAACCAACAAGCUUGCUUGUUGGGGUUGUAGGACACUCUAUACGGAGUUACAAAGGACGACAUUAGACGAAUCAUCUGGAAAGAUGAAUCAAAGAAGGUAAUAAUCCUGUAGUCGAAAAUGUUGUCUCUCUUGAGUGGAUCCUGAGUACGACGGAGCACGUGAAAUUCCGUCGGAAUCUGGGAGGACCAUCUCCUAAGGCUAAAUACUCUCUAGUGACCGAUAGUGAACCAGUACCGUGAGGGAAAGGUGAAAAGCACCCCGGAAGGGGAGUGAAAUAGAACCUGA
rnacentral:rRNA from 1 species